rnacentral:rRNA from 1 species
UAGCGGAGGAUCCAAGCGUUUAUUGCCGGAAUCAUUGGGUUUAAAGGGUCCGUAGGCGGUUUAGUAAGUCAGGUGGUGAAAGCCCAUCGCUCAACGGUGGAACGGCCAUUGAUACUGCUAGACUUGAAUUAUUAGGAAGUAACUAGAAUAUGUAGUGUAGCGGUGAAAUGCUUAGAGAUUACAUGGAAUACCAAUUGCGAA